AUUGAACGCUGGCGGCAUGCCUUACACAUGCAAGUCGAACGGCAGCACGGGUGCUUGCACCUGGUGGCGAGUGGCGAACGGGUGAGUAAUACAUCGGAACGUACCUUAUCGUGGGGGAUAACGCAGCGAAAGCUGUGCUAAUACCGCAUACGCCCUGAGGGGGAAAGCGGGGGAUCGCAAGACCUCGCGCGAUUAGAGCGGCCGAUGCCUGAUUAGCUAGUUGGUGGGGUAAAAGCCCUCCAAGGCGACGAUCAGUAGCUGGUCUACGAGGCCGAUCCGCCACACUGGGGCUGAGACACGGCGCAGACUCCUGCGGGAGGCAGCAGUGGGGAAUUUUGGACAAUGGGGGCAACCCUGAUCAAGCAAUGCCGCGUGAGUGAAGAAGGCCUUCGGGUUGUAAAGCUCUUUUGUCAGGGAAGAAACACCGGCUCUAACACAGUCCGGGAGUGACGGUACCUGAAGAAUAAGCACCGGCUAACUACGUGCCAGCCGCCGCCGUAA
rnacentral:rRNA from 1 species